AUAAAGUGAGGCGAAGAUCCUAAGGACAGCAAGAUGUCAUAGCACUUGCGAAAAACGGAUGUGUAUUCUUAUUUUAGGGGUUGCUUUAAGUUGUUUUUAUGUUGACGAUUCUGAAAACGUGGUACCCAAGUAAGAGUCAUAUAAAGAAAACACAAGGAUUCCGAGACAAGGGCCAAAAAAAGGACUUAUUAUCAGGUUCGCGAAUGUGCCACUGCGGCAUGCUAACGAGACAGUAUGCUAAUCUAAACAUGGUUGCUAGCUAGUUAGCCAGACACAAACAUGCAACACUAAACGCUAUGCUAUGUGUACUUGAAGUUUUCGAAAUGUAUCCAGAUUAUAUUAACAAGCUCCUAGUAGCUAACCUGUUGGCUGGCUAAAUUAUGGUGAUGACCACAGUCACAGACAGUAACUUUGCUAGCUAAAUUCGCUACUGUUACUAUUUCAUCGUAUGUUCAAGCCAACGGCUAGCUGCGUAGUUAGCUAUUAUUAGCUGUCAUAGCUAGCUAACUAGAUCGCUAGUUACUUGUUUGCCGUUCGGCAUGUUCUACCUAGCUAGCAGUUUAGUUGGCUGGGCUAUAAGCAUUUCACAAUGAUCUGUGUGGCUUGCAUGUUGUGUUGUCAUUUAAUUUAGAACACUACUAAGUCACUGGUCUCAUUGUAUUUUCUAGGCAUUUCACAGCAUUUUAUGUGAAGUUUAACAGGAUAUCUCAAAGUGAAAUAUACUGUCAGAUAUUCUCUCCUGCGUCGCUCAGAAAUAAUGCGGAUAUCUGAAACUCAUGUCGAACGACUAUGAAGAGCUAGCCACUAUGAUAGCCGCGGGGGAAUUGCAGUCAUUUGUCCCGUUUGGCGUGAGCAGUGCAAUAACCACCCGAACGCUGUAAACCUGCAGCUGCAAGCCUCUAAGCUCAGGUCCUCAGACAGAAGGUCCCCUCCAUGAUGUCACUACAGCAGAAGAAGUGUUGGUUGCUGAGAAAGGGUUCCAGUGUGGACAGUGAUGAGAAUGAAGAGGAGCUCUAUGCAGCAGGAAACAUGGUCAUAUGGAGCAGAGGGAGCAAGAGUCAAGCUUCCCAUGUUUACAAGGUUUUCACUGUGGGCAGUCCAGUACUACAGAGCAGGAUGUUAUGGAACAGAUUGUGUGUAUUGUCCCGAGGAGCUGUGUGAAUGUGCACAGUGUGACACCGAAGGACUUAAUCUCCCCUCUACACUUUCAGGGAACCUCUUCCCACUGUAUAUGCAGUAUGCUGCACCCUCUGGAUGAGAGUGGUGUGCAGACCUACAGGUCUGUUCGAGGCUGCCUGUGUGCAAUACGUCUCUGACAGCACCAUGAAAAUCGUCUUCUUCAACGGCAAGCCCUCCAUAGUUAUAUGACACCGUGCAGGGCAUACAAUCAGUCACUCUAGAUCAGAUUGUUAUGCAAAGCAUGUAGCUGCCCAAGAAGCGUGACACUUGGCCCCAGACCCGUGUGGCCACUGUGUACAUUGUGACAACAUGAUCAAUACUACAGUAUUUUUCCACCCGAGAACAGCUUUCUGACUACACAACUGAAGAACGUCUCCAGAAUGGAUUCACUCGGCUCACUCUUCCAUUGCCACACCCUGCAUAACCAAAACAGGAUGACCUCAUCACCAGCCUCCACUCAUGGACUUACUCUUCCAGCAUCUCCAGCAUGGCUGCACUCAGCUGGUUCCACACCCCUGGCAUGGUGGCACCCUCCUUGGCAACGGCACAGUUUAACAUGUGGUACCACUCAUGUCCCCCAGAGGGCACAGCUUCCCGCCCUCGCCCAACAGCACUGCCAACUAGUCUGUGCUUGUCCCAGAGAUGAAGCCCAUGGUGCCUGAUCUAUGCAUUGAGCAGCUGUGGAGUGACACGGCCUCCUCCCACAGGUGGCAGUGCUCUUCCCUGUAUCAGAGCUGGGGGGCUCCACCAAGCACCACGAGCCCUCCUGUCUGGGUGACUACAUCUUCCAAGUCUGUACCCUACAUCCAUGCCCUCGGAGAUCCCUUCAGCAGCAGUGUCACCCUGGGACGAAUUGCCUCCAGGCGGUGCGCUUCAUCCUGCCUAAGGACAUGGCCAUGAAGUUGCUGGUGAAGUGGUACAACAUCUACAAUGACGCCGGGGGGCCCCAGCGCUCACCUGGGGUGUAACCUUUUUGUCACUUGCUUCAUGACUCUCAUGGGCUACAACACGGAGCGGCUGGGCUGGAAACGCAAUCGCCAUUUUGAACUGCCCCUCUCCAGUGGUUGCACCAAAGAAGGCCCGGCCGUCCGACACGGGGUCUAAGGAGGAGUAUAGCCUACCUGGCUGGUAUGAAAAUGAACCACCGGAGAAGCUUCUCCAUUCGCUAUUUAACCCAGAUGCUGCAUCCGUGCUUCCUGAGGGCGUAGCCUCCGUGUGUUCAGCUGGCUCAGCAGCUGUCUGAAGGGAGAGGAGGUAGCACCUACCUGCCCGGCAUCUGUGAGAGGACCAAACUACUGGUGCUGGUAUGCUAUCAACAUCAUCAUCAUCAUCAUCCAUCAUCAUCAUCGUUGUUGUUUAUUCUCAUAUACUGUGUCCAUCUUUGCCUCAUGAUGACAAGGGAAGGAAAUAUAUGGAGCCAUAUAUAUCGCUCUGGAAAUGUGUAGAAUACACUUUUUCCCCCCAAGACUUAAUGAAUGUGGGAAUUUAGAGUUUGCUUGCAAUAUCAACAUCUCCAGUAGGGGGUGCCACUGACAACUGAAAAGGGAAUAAGUGUUUACAUCAGGGAUCAUCAACUAUAUUCAGCCAUGGGACAAUUUAUUUUAUUUUAUUCUUGAGCGGAUGGUCAGGGGGCCAAAACAUAAAUACUAAUCAUUUGUAGAAUGCAAAUUGAGCUUGCUUACGUUUGUAUACGGUCACAUAUCUCUGUAUUAUGCGUGGGAAUACAUUUUAACAGAUUUUCUAAAUUAAAAUCACUUGGAGCUGAUUUGCUGUUGUUUAAGAAAAAAAAGUACAUUCUUAUUGCUGCCAGUUGGGGAAUCCUGAUUUACAUUGUCCUUGGUGUGAGGAAAGUAGACAUCACCUUUUGGUUUGGUUAGCUACAGAACAGCUAGAGGACCUCACAAUCUGACUGACACGGUACAUAAAUACUGUUUUGACAAUAAAAAGUUCCUGGAUAUUUUGAGUGACCAACGUCAAAUCAUCCUCCCUGGCUUGGUUGGCAGUCCCUAGCCCCAGUGGAGCCAAUGCUAGGUCAGGCUCUAAUAGGAUCUCCCUGUUUAAAAGGGGUCAUCAAGCAAUGACACGCAUGCUCUGUUUAAAUGUCAAAUGGCUAUGAUAUAAGGCUUCAUGCUAGGGAGAGAGGGAAACAUUUGUCUUGUGUCUAAAGACAGAGGGAAUGUAUGUGAGUAAGACUGUGUGCAUGUGUGAAGGCGCACGCUUGUAUUUGUGUGUGUCUGUGUACUCCACUAUAAUUAAGCCCUGGUCGGAUGGAGGGCUGAAUCAGGUUGGUGGAGUGGAGGAGACUGUGCUGAUGACCAGGCCUUGUGCGUCUCCUCCCAUCAGGCUAAGUGAGGUGACUCAUGUCACUGCUGAGAGACUGACAGCCUGUCAUGCAAUUACAGAAUCUAUUUACCCCAUCACUGUCUCUCUCUCUCUCUCUUUCUCUCACUCCCCAUUUCUCGGUCUGUGUCUCUUAACAGACCAGACGCUGACGUUUGUUUCUCUGUCUUUUUCUGCCUCUUUCUCUCCCUCCCUCUCAAAGCUACACCCUGUACAUGAUUGGAAAUGGCAAUGCCACUUCAGUUGGAUGUUUUGAAAUAUCUAACCAAGCUCUGCAGUAUGCAUCUGGGGCCAGGAGCUGCAUGUCCAGGAGGCCAGACGUCUCCUCCAGAGCUCCCGACCAGUCAGGCUCAGCGUGGUCCACCGGGCCUUGGUCAGCGACAUAGAGGAGAAGGAGAACAAACUGCUGCAGCUGUGCCAGCGUUCCAUGGCUCUGCCAGUGGGCAGAGGCCUGCUCACUCUCUUCUCCUACCACCCUGUGUCAACAGAGCCCCUACCUGUGCCUAAACUCAACCUUACUGAUCUGAACAGCGGGAACAUUGACCUUCUUCCCAACAUGACGAGCUGGUCCAGCUUUCACAACAGGGUGGCUGCGGGCCUGAAGAUCGCCCCAGGCCUCCCAGGUGGACUGCCUGCAUCACCUACAACAUGCCCAAGAGCCCUGAUCAGGCCAAUGAGUACGCAGGCUUCUUCAUGGCUCUGGGCCUCAACGGACACCUCAGCAAGCUGGCCACACUCAACCUACAUGACUACUUCACCGAGAAGUGAUCCCCGCUGAGUAGGAAGUCCAUGGAGGACUAAUUAAAAUGGCUGCCAUGACAUGCCGAGCAUCGGGCUGCUACUGGGUGUGUCUGCAGCCAAGCUGAGCACCAUGGACGUGUCAAUCACCCACCUGCUGAGCAUCCCCGCACUACUCCCACCCACCUCCACUGAGCUGGACGUACCACACAACGUGCAGGUGGCGGCCGUGCUGGGCAUCGGCCUGGUCUUCCAGGACACGGGCCACCGCCACAACGCAGAGGUGUGCUCGCUGAGAUCGGUGGACUCCCCCUGGUCCUGAGAUGGAGUACUGCGCAGACAGAGAGCCCUACUCCCUGUGCUGGCCCUGGGUAUGGUCUGGCUGAAGUUGCUGUGAGCGCUGCUGUCCCGGGGUCCUGCCAGAUUCCGGAUAGGGGAAGAGACACGGAAGCCCAGCUAGCCUAGCUGGCUCGGUGGUCUCAAAUGGAGGUCACUAUUAAACGUUUCCAGUGCUGCAGGAGCUGUGUUUACUUUGCUUUGUUCCGGGACAAUGGGGACCGCGCUGACUUUUAAUGUAGCAUCUGUUUUCUUGCGGAGGACUACAGGGUCAAAGUGGAUACUCUUAGCAAGCAGGUAGCAAACCUACACAAGCUACUGGGGAAUCCACGUGCCGAUCUGGUUGAAGUGUCGCCUCUGUGUCGGCUCUCCACGGCCGACUGGCCGGUGCUCAGCAGGGCUCCAUCCCCGAAGGGGCCUCCCCCAUCCCUGGAGAACAGAGCUGUUCUCAACCCAACCAACCAGCUAUGGAGGUACGUCACUCGCCGUGGAAGUCGAAGAAAGCAUCCUCUGGCAACAGGGGUCUCCAUGGAGAUAUUAAGCCUGGACCUGACACAGACCAGAAAUGACUUUGCCGCCCUGGAUCCAGAGGUUCCGGCGCCAUCUUCCUUAGGGGCUUCCCAUUCAAGAUCAGAUCCAGAGGUACCUGCGUCUUUGUCUUCUGUUCUGUCUCCCUCUCUGGUUGCUUCUACCUCUGGUUCAGAUCCCUAGAGCUCCCACAAUCAUCAGACCGUGAGGCUGCCUGGGAGACUGGCCCAUUCAACAUCACCAGCAGUCGUCAUAGGCAGCUCUAUGGUGAGAAACAUCUCGGUCCCCAAGGCAAAAACCCUGUGCUACCCAGGAGCACGAGUACAGGACAUAACAAGGCUGCUUCCGACUGUUCUACCACAGAUGCCGGGAGCUGACACUGUCGUAGUCCAUGUGGGGUCAAACGACAUCAGGAGGGCUAGCUCGGAACAUUUGAAAAUGGACUUUAAAGAACUGAUUUUAGCAUAAUUUCAGAUCCAGUACCACCGUUGGGCCGCGGGUGUGAAUGAUUCAGCAGGCUACUGGCAUUACACAUCUGGCUAAAAGGCUACUGUAGCUCUGCUGGAAUCACUUUUAUUGAUAACUUUGACACCUUCUGGAAACAGAAGAUACUCUACAGGAAUGACAGAGUCCAAAUCAUCUUAGCUCCUGGACUUCAAGGCUGCGUUGAAACAAUGACUGGAAGUUAUCAACUGUACUGCUGUUUAUGCAGAGCGGCGAUAAAUAGAAAGUCUUGCAUAGAAAGCACUCUUCAUACUUCAAAAGGCUGAUAAAUAAUAAAAGGGUAUGACUGACCUGAAUGUACCUGAGCAGCUCUACAUGGUGGUAGGGCAUCGAGGCACCCACACCAGUAUCAACAGAGAAAAACACAAGUCCCCCAGCUACCAGAUCAUGGCACAAAACCAUGGUCUAACAGAAUACUAUGACCAGAGACUUGAGAAUGCCCCAAGUGUGGGGAUGUCUGGUCAUCAACAUGGACGUCACCUGUCCUGGAGCGACCCUGGCUAUGAUCUACCUGAAGACCAACAACAGGCGAUAAUUGAUUCCACCACUCUCUCAUUUUUAGAUACCCUUCAACGAAAAGUAAUGCCGUGUUCUACUAGAUUUGACUCUUCAAUCUCCCAUCUAAUCUUGCAUGGUGCCUCACAGAACAUCUUGACCCCAGCGCCUUAGCACAUAGCUUAUAACUGGGGGAAAAAGUCAUUUUGAAUCAUUUUAGGUUUUUCCUGGUUCUGUUCCCGUAUUGGACAAUAGGCUCAGGCUUCCAUUAACACCUCUUUCUCACCGUCUCAUAGGUCCAACGCAGUUUGGCUGAAAGCUCCAGACACCAUGUUCCUCCUGGACUGCACUCUGGACACUGGCCAGGUGUAUCAUCAUAUGGGAUGAGAUUCUGCCCAACUCGAAAGCAGCAAUGUGCCUCCGGCAAGCCCAUGACCACAUAAUUGCUGGAACCUAUAUGACUGUGGGAUUCCGCUUCGCUGGCUCGGCCAACUCUGACGCAUUCGACUGCUUGUAAAAUUUCGCAAGGAGCUUCAUGCAGUGUUGGACAUCAGCAACGGUUACGGGCCACUUCAACUAACAGAUGUGUCUGAGCAUGUUGUUGUCCACGGUGAUGGCUGGCUCUGGUAACCUGAAGGUGCUGGAGCUCUGCCGCGUCCUCCACAAGAGAACCAGAACUAUGACCCACCAAAUGGCCCUGGGCAUGCUCGUCCUGGGAGGAGGGAGGUACACUCCAACUCGGCCAUCGCUGCCUUGCUCUGUGCGCUCUACCACCAUUUUCCUGCCCACAGCACAGAUAACCGAGCAUAGGGGACUCUGUUAUGAGGAGAUUACAGCGGAACUGAUGGCCCCCACCAUGUUGCCUGAGCUGCAGCUCCUCAACAAGGUCAAAUGAAAUGUAAUCAUGCUACAAAGUCAUUCUGCUAAGCAGGAUGGUCCAUGUCAAAAUUGAGAUUUCAACAUUUUUGUUAGAAAGUGAGUAAUGCAAUGUGUCCAUGUAUGCAAUUGAUACGCUUUUCUCCCUUCCUCUUUGCAAUACAAUACAGUACAGGGAAAGGUCAGUUAGGAUCAUCAAACCCUGCAAUUACAAGAAAAUCAUUAUCUUUUUCACAUUGUUUUCAAACUAAAUUUUCUAAGAUGAAUGGCUGACCUACUUGUUUUAAUGUGGUUACAUAUUCAAGUAAAAGGACCAUUGAUACUGGAAGCUGUCCAUAGACCUGAAGUAAAGGAACUCCACAUCUUGAGUCCAUUCUGUCCAGAGAUGGGGUUGUGUAUCUGAAGCUGCGUGCCCUAUGAGGUCGACCUUCGGGACUGGAAGAAUCUAUUAUCCCCCAACGUCGUCAACUGGAACUCAGAAGUCCACACAUUCAAGCCCGAGGCCAUCUCGACCUUCCCUUCCGACGCUGCCUUGGUCUCCUUCGCUGAAUACUUCUGUAAAGCCUCGGAUAGCACGAGACAUGUUGAUUAGCGGAGUGGAUGCUAUGUGAUGCAGCUGCAACUUAACGUUGUAACACAGAGCCUACAUUGACGGUUUAAAUUAGACUUAAAUACUGCCUAUGUCGCUCCCCUUGUGAAUCCGUUUGUUAAUCACUUGAAUCCCAUUUCCACCAGGUAGAUACCACUAUAUGUAAUUGGAGAUGUGGAAUAUUUAUUUUUGAAUACACUGUGAAAUUGAAGGAGAUUGGUUCUAACCUUUAGCUCAUGAUUUGAUUGCAAUUAUUGAAACACCCCUCACUGCCCUAUUUUAUAAUUCCACAGUUUCUGUUUCUGAUUGUUCAAUUGAUAAGCACUCACUGAAUAGAGCUUCUAUUUACUGUUGUAGCACUGAAUGGAGCUUCUAUUUACUGUUGCACUGAAUGGAGCUUCUAUUUACUGUUGUUGCACUGAAUGGAGCGUCUAUUUACUGUUGUUGCACUGAAUGGAGCGUCUAUUUACUGUUGUUGCACUGAAUGGAGCUUCUAUUUACUGUUGUUGCACUGAAUGGAGCUUCUAUUUACUGUUGUAGCACUGAAUGGAGCUUCUAUUUACUGUUGUUGCACUGAAUGGAGCUUCUAUUUACUGUUGUUGCACUGAAUGGAGCUUCUAUUUACUGUUGUUGCACUGAAUGGAGCUUCUAUUUACUGUUGUUGCACUGAAUGGAGCUUCUAUUUACUGUUGUUGCACUGAAUGGAGCUUCUAUUUACUGUUGUAGCACUGAAUGGAGCUUCUAUUUACUGUUGUUGCACUGAAUGGAGCUUCUAUUUACUGUUGUAGCACUGAAUGGAGCUUCUAUUUACUGUUGUAGCACUGAAUGGAGCUUCUAUUUUGUUGUCUUUGUCCAAAAAUACAACACUUUGGCCUUAAUAUCUGCCAUUCGAUCUGAGUGUCACUCAGGAGAACCCUGAGAUGCUGCCCACCUACAUUGCUAUUGAUCAGGUGGUACUGACCCUGGAACAGAUGUAGACGUUUGCUCUGUGGCAGAUGAGACUGUUGUUGGAGCUAUGUGAGAACAGGGUCCUGCAACACAGACUGAGGCAGGGGGCACAGGGCAGGGUCCUGCAACACAGACUGAAUGAGGGGGCACAGGACAGGGUCCUGCAACACAGACUGAAUGAGGGGACACAGGGCAGGGUCCUGCAACACAGACUGAAGGAGUGGGCACAGGGCAGGGUCCUGCAACACAGACUGAAGGAGUGGGCACAGGGCAGGGUCCUGCAACACAGACUGAAGGAGUGGGCACAGAGCAGGGGGCUGCUGUUCAUCUGCCUGUCAUGAAGAACUCGGCCGAUGGCACCCUGGACUGCUGGCUCACUGUUAACAGCCAUGUGUUGAGGACAUACAUGUUGCCAGUCCCUACUGAUGGGCAUGCUGUCCAACAUUCUAGCCUGCUUCCUGGUCUAACACUAUCCCCUGCCUCAGGAAGAUGUCUGCCACACACCUGGAAGUUAAACAACUGUUAGCUAAAUAUCGUGGAAGUACAUCGUUCCCUGAGCUCCUGUUGAAGUUGUCAGCUAUGCAUCCCUGUACAAGCCUUGCUGCGCCUGGGCCCUCUCCUCCUGGGGACUGCAAGCUUCAGGACUGGACAACAGGCCUGUUGAAAUUACCUGACCUUUGACCUCUAACCUUGGUCUCUUACUUUACCUUGGUCUUGACCCAGAAGGGUCACUCUGCACUGCUUGUUGCAGCUCACAAGAAAUGGACCUGAUAUUAUAUUAAAUAUCAUUGUAAAAGCUUUCUUGAUACGAAUUGUAUGUCAAAUGUUUAUACUGUACCUGUAUUCCAUAUAAAAUAAUGCAGUAAAUAAAAAGUGAUUUGAGA